rnacentral:lncRNA from 1 species
AAGAGUAGAUGAUGAGGAUGAGUUAACGGUUCUGCAAUCUUUGUUAAAGCCACAUCAGACUGCACCGGCUUCUCAAGACAACUCUUCUUUACCGGUCAAGAUUCACCACAUGUUUAUGUAACUCCUACUGAUUCAGAAAACUCUACUGUUUCAAUAUUUGUUUCAAUUACACCCACAGCGUCUUCUACAAGUGACACCGAUAAUACCCAGCCCUCUGAUGCUUCUGCUUCCGCGUAUUCUUCCUCAUACACACAGGCCCGGCCCAGCGCUAAAGCUCAUAAAGCAAACGCUUGGGGCGCCAAGGUUUAUAAGUAUUUUAGGGGCAGUUUGUAUAGUGAGUUUCUUUAGUGCAGUGGCUAUUGUAUAUCUUCUUUCUCCUCUCCGCCCGG